rnacentral:rRNA from 1 species
GAUGAACGCUGGCGGCGUGCCUAAUACAUGCAAGUCGAGCGAACGGACGAGAAGCUUGCUUCUCUGAUGUUAGCGGCGGACGGGUGUGUAACACGUGGAUAACCUACCUAUAAGACUGGGAUAACUUCGGGAAACCGGCUCUAAUCCCGUAUUAUAUUUUGAACUGUAUGGUUCAAAAGUGAAAGACGGUCUUGCUGUUACUUAUAGAUGGAUCCUCGCUUCAUUAGCUAGUUGGUAAGGUAACGGCUUACCAAGGCAACGAUGCAUAGCCGACCUGAGAGGGUGAUCGGCAACACUGGAACUGGGAAACGGUCAAGACUCCUACGGGAGGAAGAAGUAGGGAAUCUUGCGAAAUGGGCGAAAGCCUGACGGAGAAACGCCGCGUGAGUAAUGAGGGUCUUCGGAUCUUAAAACUCUGUUAAUAGGGAAGAACAGUUGUGGAAGUAACUGUGCACAUCGUGACGGUACCUAAUCAGAAAGCCACGGCUAACUACGUG